rnacentral:rRNA from 1 species
GGCUCAGAACGAACGUUGGCGGCGUGGAUUAAGCAUGCAAGUCGCGGGAAUCCCAGCAAUGGGGGAACCGGCGUAAGGGGCAGUAAGGCGUGGGUACCUACCCUGGGGUCCGGGAUAGCCGUCCGAGAGGGCGGGUAAUACCGGAUGACCUCGGGAGAGCAAAGCUCCGGCGCCCUGGGAGGGGCCCACGUGAUAUUAGCUGGUUGGUGAGGUGACGGCUCACCAAGGCGGAGAUGUCUAGCGGGUGUGAGAGCACGACCCGCGCCACUCGCACUGAGACACUGGCGAGACACCUACGGGUGGCUGCAGUCGAGGAUCUUCGGCAAUGCGCGCAAGCGCGACCGAGCGACGCCGCGUGGGCGAUGAAGGCCUUCGGGUUGUAAAGCCCUGUCGAGGGGGAGAAAAGGGUAAAACUUUGAUCUAUCCCUGGAGGAAGCUCGGGCUAAGUUCGUGCCAGCAGCCGCGGUAAGACGAACCGAGCGAACGUUGUUCGGAAUCACUGGGCUUAAAGGGCGCGUAGGCGGGCUGCCAAGUUUGGGGUGAAAUCCUCCGGCUCAACCGGGGAAGUGCCUUGAAUACUGGCGGUCUGGAGGGAGGUAGGGGCGUGCGGAACUAACGGUGGAGCGGUGAAAUGCGUUGAUAUCGUUAGGAACUCCGGUGGCGAAGGCGGCACGCUGGACCUUUUCUGACGCUGAGGCGCGAAAGCCAGGGGAGCGAACGGGAUUAGAUACCCCGGUAGUCCUGGCCCUAAACGUUGAGAACUAGGUAGUAGGCCGGACAUGGGCUUACUGCCGGAGCAAAAGUGCUAAGUUCUCCGCCUGGGGAGUAUGGU